UUGAAGUUCGGGGAUCAGAAUUGUCGGUCGUGCCUCGGUACGCACUGGCAUUAUUGGUUCCUACCUUCUGAAGAACCGCGAUGUCAUUAAUUUGGUGUCGUGGGGAAUCAGGACUGUUACUUAGAAAAAAUUAGAGUGUUUAAAGCAGGCGCACGCUUGAAUACAUCAGCAUGGAAUAAUAAAAUAGGACGUUUGAUUCUAUUUUGUUGGUUUCUAGGAUCGACGUAAUGAUUAAUAGGGAUAGUUGGGGGCAUUAGUAUUCAAUUGUCAGAGGUGAAAUUCUGGAUUUAUUGAAGACUAACUACUGCGAAAGCAUUUGCCAAGGAUGUUUUCAUUAAUCAAGAACGAAAGUUAGGGGAUCGAAGACGAUCAGAUACCGUCGUAGUCUUAACCAUAAACUAUGCCGACUAGGGAUCGGAUGAUGUUUAAUUUUUAAUGACUC
rnacentral:rRNA from 1 species